rnacentral:rRNA from 1 species
GAAAGAUUCAUCGGAAGAGGAUGGGCAUGCGGCGCAUUAGCUAGACGGCGGGGUAACGGCCCACCGUGGCGACGAUGCGUAGGGGUUCUGAGAGGAAGGUCCCCCACACUGGUACUGAGACACGGACCAGACUCCUACGGGAGGCAGCAGUGAGGAAUAUUGGUCAAUGGGAGAGAUCCUGAACCAGCCAAGCCGCGUGAGGGAAGACGGCCCUAUGGGUUGUAAACCUCUUUUGUCGGAGAACAAAACCCGGGACGAGUCCCGGACUGCGUGUAUCCGAAGAAAAAGCAUCGGCUAACUCCGUGCCAGCAGCCGCGGUAAUACGGAGGAUGCGAGCGUUAUCCGGAUUUAUUGGGUUUAAAGGGUGCGUAGGCGGUCUGUUAAGUCAGCGGUAAAAUUGCGGGGCUCAACCCCGUCGAGCCGUUGAAACUGGCAGACUUGAGUUGGCGAGAAGUACGCGGAAUGCGCGGUGUAGCGGUGAAAUGCAUAGAUAUCGCGCAGAACUCCGAUUGCGAAGGCAGCGUACCGGCGCCAGACUGACGCUGAGGCACGAAAGCGUGGGGAUCGAACAGGAUUAGAUACCCUGGUAGUCCACGCAGUAAACGAUGAAUGCUGGUUGUCCGGGUCGAAUGAGAUCUGG